rnacentral:rRNA from 1 species
UGGGGAAUAUUGCACAAUGGGCGCAAGCCUGAUGCAGCGACGCCGCGUGAAGGAUGAAGGUCUUCGGAUCGUAAACUUCUAUCAGCAGGGAAGAAUACCAUGACGGUACCUGACUAAGAAGCCCCGGCUAACUACGUGCCAGCAGCCGCGGUAAUACGUAGGGGGCAAGCGUUAUCCGGAAUUACUGGGUGUAAAGGGUGCGUAGGUGGCGAUUUAAGUCAGAUGUGAAAACUCAGGGCUCAACCUUGAGACUGCAUCUGAAACUGAGUUGCUAGAGUGCAGGAGAGGAAAGCGGAAUUCCGAGUGUAGCGGUGAAAUGCGUAGAUAUUCGGAGGAACACCAGUAGCGAAGGCGGCUUUCUGGACUGUAACUGACACUGAGGCACGAAAGCGUGGGGAGCGAACA